rnacentral:lncRNA from 1 species
ACACCGGAAGAAAACAACUGAAAUCAAAUGACAAUGUUACAUACCUUUGAAGACGGCAGACCACAGAUGCACCACUCACGGCAGACCAUAGACGAUAGACCUACUCACGCACGGUGUAGAGAGUUAAGAUGCAAACCCACGGCGCAGUGGGAAGAGAGAGAUGCAAUCGGGGAAAGGAAAGGAGUGGGAGGAGAGAGAGAUGCGGAGAUUGUGGGAUAUGUGGAAAUGAGAUAAAUGAAAAUGAGAGAGAUGUCUGAAUGAGCGUUUUCCAUGUUUUGU